ACCAAGGAGUUUAUCGUGUACGCAAGUCAUUGGGUGUAUAAAACCCAAAGGCGAAAUGAAAGUAAAAAGUUGAGUAGAUAAUGAAUUUCAUUUAUUAUCUCUCGCUUAAGGGAUGAUAAAAAUUUAAUUAAUAAUAUAUUUAUAUAUUAUUAAUAUAAAUUUUUCGCACUCCCAGGGCGCUUGUUUCACGCUUUGCGUGUCAAUGCGCACCUAGAGCGUACACGCUGAUACCCGAAAGAUGGUGAACUAUGCCUGGCCAGGACGAAGCCAGGGGAAACCCUGGUGGAGGUCCGCAGCGAUUCUGACGUGCAAAUCGAUCGUCGGAGCUGGGUAUAGGGGCGAAAGACCAAUCGAACCAUCUAGUAGCUGGUUCCCUCUGAAGUUUCCCUCAGGAUAGCUUGCGCUCGUUUGUGAAGAGUCUCAUCCGGUAGAGCGAAUGAUUAGAGGCAUUGGGGUCGAAACGACCUCAACCUAUUCUCAAACUCCAAAUAGAUGAGAACCCCGGCUUUCUUAAAAUUGAAGCCGUGGGAAUCGGAUCAGAAUGCCAAGUGGGCCAAUUUUGGUAA
rnacentral:rRNA from 1 species